CCUACGGGCGCUGCAGUGGGGAAUAUUGGACAAUGGGCGAAAGCCUGAUCCAGCCAUGCCGCGUGUGUGAAGAAGGCCUUCGGGUUGUAAAGCACUUUCAGUGGGGAAGAAAGCCUUGGGGCUAAUACCCUCGAGGAAGGACAUCACCCACAGAAGAAGCACCGGCUAACUCCGUGCCAGCAGCCGCGGUAAUACGGAGGGUGCGAGCGUUAAUCGGAAUUACUGGGCGUAAAGCGCGCGUAGGCGGUCUGAUAAGCCGGUUGUGAAAGCCCCGGGUUCAACCUGGGAACGGCAUCCGGAACUGUCAGGCUAGAGUGCAGGAGAGGAAGGUAGAAUUCCCGGUGUAGCGGUGAAAUGCGUAGAGAUCGGGAGGAAUACCAGUGGCGAAGGCGGCCUUCUGGACUGACACUGACGCUGAGGUGCGAAAGCGUGGGUAGCAAACAGGAUUAGAUACCCCGUGUAGUC
rnacentral:rRNA from 1 species